rnacentral:rRNA from 1 species
UAUACCGUGAAACUGCGAAUGGCUCAUUAAAUCAGUUAUCGUUUAUUUGAUAAUACCUUACUACUUGGAUAACCGUGGUAAUUCUAGAGCUAAUACAUGCUGAAAAUCCCGACUUCGGAAGGGAUGUGUUUAUUAGAUAAAAAACCAAUGCCCUUCGGGGCUUUUUGGUGAUUCAUGAUAACUUUACGGAUCGCAUAGCCUUGCGCUGGCGACGGUUCAUUCAAAUUUCUGCCCUAUCAACUUUCGAUGGUAAGGUAUUGGCUUACCAUGGUUUCAACGGGUAACGGGGAAUUAGGGUUCGAUUCCGGAGAGGGAGCCUGAGAAACGGCUACCACAUCCAAGGAAGGCAGCAGGCGCGCAAAUUACCCAAUCCCGACACGGGGAGGUAGUGACAAUAAAUACUGAUACAGGGCUCUUUUGGGUCUUGUAAUUGGAAUGAGUACAAUUUAAACCUCUUAACGAGGAACAAUUGGAGGGCAAGUCUGGUGCCAGCAGCCGCGGUAAUUCCAGCUCCAAUAGCGUAUAUUAAAGUUGUUGCAGUUAAAAAGCUCGUAGUUGAAACUUGGGCCUGGCUGGCGGGUCCGCCUCACCGCGUGCACUCGUCCGGCCGGGCCUUCCUUCUGAAGAACCUCAUGCCCUUCACUGGGCGUGCUGGGGAAUCAGGACUUUUACUUUGAAAAAAUUAGAGUGUUCAAAGCAGGCCUUUGCUCGAAUACGUUAGCAUGGAAUAAUAAAAUAGGGCGUGCGUUUCUAUUUUGUUGGUUUCUAGAGACGCCGCAAUGAUUAACAGGAACAGUCGGGGGCAUCAGUAUUCAGUUGUCAGAGGUGAAAUUCUUGGAUUUACUGAAGACUAACUACUGCGAAAGCAUUUGCCAAGGAUGUUUUCAUUAAUCAGUGAACGAAAGUUAGGGGAUCGAAGACGAUCAGAUACCGUCGUAGUCUUAACCGUAAACUAUGCCGACUAGGGAUCGGGCGAUGUUCUUUUUCUGACUCGCUCGGCGCCUUACGAGAAAUCAAAGU